rnacentral:sRNA from 1 species
GCAGCGGCGCAGUAUUCUAGUCGUUCCCGCCGUUUUCCAGGAAGGGCCUAAAAAUCCUUUGAAGGGCACAUCGAUGAAGUCCUUGGUGCCUGCUUGAGACGCCCAGUCUUGGGUGGGUGCUGGGGGGAAGCGCGGCUUGCCGUGCUUGCGGUGGUAGGGCGCUCUCCAAUGGCAUGGAGAACCCGACCCUGCCUCCGUGGAGACCUGUUCUUGUGCGCAGACGUACUCCCCUGGUGGUAUUUCGGCCUGUGUACGAAGCAGAUUUGAACCUGCAAUGCGGUGCAGCGGCGCGUUUUGCGCCAAAGUGCUGUGUGCAGAGUAGCCUGCCUUGAGUGGGUCUGGCGGAUGGGAGAUCAGACCAAUUCUGCUCCGGCCAGAGCGGAAUGCGUUAUCGCUCCCUGAAACCUUUCCUGCAAAAGAGGCUAAGAAACGGUUGGGAACGCCGUGGAAAUCACCUAGGCUGUCUUAACCGGGUCGCAGAGGGAUUGCAGUGCGGACUAAGUGGCAGUCGGGUCCCAUGGAUGGGCGACACCAUGGCAUGGCGCCAAAGGGGAAACCACCUGAUCGGCAACGAGAGGCGCGCCAUGGGGAAAUCCAACCCGUACCUAAGCCGUAAGAUUUACCUCU